rnacentral:rRNA from 1 species
GUGGGGAAUCUUGCGCAAUGGGCGAAAGCCUGACGCAGCCAUGCCGCGUGGAUGAUGAAGGUCUUAGGAUUGUAAAAUCCUUUCACCGGUGAAGAUAAUGACUGUAGCCGGAGAAGAAGCCCCGGCUAACUUCGUGCCAGCAGCCGCGGUAAUACGAAGGGGGCUAGCGUUGCUCGGAUUUACUGGGCGUAAAGGGCGCGUAGGCGGACAUUUAAGUCAGGGGUGAAAUCCCGGGGCUCAACCUCGGAACUGCCUUUGAUACUGGGUGUCUUGAGUAUGAGAGAGGUGUGUGGAACUCCGAGUGUAGAGGUGAAAUUCGUAGAUAUUCGGAAGAACACCAGUGGCGAAGGCGACACACUGGCUCGUUACUGACGCUGAGGCGCGAAAGCGUGGGGAGCAAACAGGAUUAGAUACCCGGGUAGUCC